rnacentral:rRNA from 2 species
AAACGACUCUCGGCAACGGAUAUCUCGGCUCUCGCAUCGAUGAAGAACGUAGCGAAAUGCGAUACUUGGUGUGAAUUGCAGAAUCCCGCGAACCAUCGAGUCUUUGAACGCAAGUUGCGCCCGAAGCCAUUAGGUUGAGGGCACGCCUGCCUGGGCGUCUCAC